rnacentral:rRNA from 1 species
AUUGAACGCUGGCGGCAUGCCUUACACACGCAAGUCGAACGGUAACAGGCCUUCGGGUGCCGACGAGUGGCGAACGGGUGAGUAAUGCAUCGGAACGUACCCAUCAGUGGGGGAUAACUCUCCGAAAGGAGGGCUAAUACCGCAUAUUCUGUGCGCAGGAAAGCGGGGGACCGCAAGGCCUCGCGCUGAUGGAGCGGCCGAUGCCAGAUUAGCUAGUUGGUGGGGUAAAGGCCUACCAAGGCGACGAUCUGUAGCGGGUCUGAGAGGAUGAUCCGCCACACUGGGACUGAGACACGGCCCAGACUCCUACGGGAGGCAGCAGUGGGGAAUUUUGGACAAUGGGGGCAACCCUGAUCCAGCCAUGCCGCGUGAGUGAAGAAGGCCUUCGGGUUGUAAAGCUCUUUCGGCCGGGAAGAAAUCGCAUCUCCUAAUACGGGGUGUGGAUGACGGUACCGGAAUAAGAAGCACCGGCUAACUACGUGCCAGCCGCCGCAGUAA